AAGAGGAGAGCAAAGCAUCGAUCGAGGAGACGGCUGAGACAUCGUGAUGAUGAACCUGCGUGUGUAUAAAUGUGAAUAGCUCUUUGGGGAAGACGAUGAAAUUACAAAACGAUGCUAGAGCUACAGAGUUGGCUGAUGUCUUUCCAGGUCUGCCUGGCAAUGAUGAAGAUGGAUAUAGGUUGAGAAAUAUAAAACAUUCAGCCUCUGUGUUCUCUGAAAUUCAUGUUUGCGAUGAAGGUAUUUAGUGAUAAUUUGUUUUUAAAUUGGCUUUGCCAGUUUGCCCUAUCA